GCUUGUCUCAAAGAUUAAGCCAUGCAUGUCUCAGUACAAGCCAAAUUAAGGUGAAACCGCGAAAGGCUCAUUAAAUCAGUUAUGGUUCCUUAGAUCGUACCCACAAUUACUUGGAUAACUGUGGUAAUUCUAGAGCUAAUACAUGCAAACAGAGUUCCGACCGGAGACGGAAGGAGUGCUUUUAUUAGAUCAAAACCGAUCGGUGGCGGGCUCGUCAUCGUACAACUUGGUGACUCUGAAUAACUUUACGCUGAUCGCACGGUCAUCGCACCGGCGACGCAUCUUUCAAAUGUCUGCCUUAUCAACUGUCGAUGGUAGGUUCUGCGCCUACCAUGGUUGUAACGGGUAACGGGGAAUCAGGGUUCGAUUCCGGAGAGGGAGCCUGAGAAACGGCUACCACAUCCAAGGAAGGCAGCAGGCGCGCAAAUUACCCACUCCCGGCACGGGGAGGUAGUGACGAAAAAUAACGAUACGGGACUCAUCCGAGGCCCCGUAAUCGGAAUGAGUACACUCUAAACCCUUUAACGAGGAUCAAUUGGAGGGCAAGUCUGGUGCCAGCAGCCGCGG
rnacentral:rRNA from 1 species